rnacentral:rRNA from 1 species
AGGGUCAUUACACCAGUUAUCGUUAUUUGAUGGGUUCUUUACCAAGGUUACCUCUGGUAAUUCUAGAGCUAAUACUUGCGCAAUGUGGCGACUCACGAAGCCGCGUAUUUAUUAGAUACUGACCGACCCCGCAAGGGCGCUGGUGAUUCAUAAUAACUGUUCGAAUCGCAUGGUCUUGCACCGGCGAUGCAUCAUUCAAAUAUCUGGCCCUAUCAACUUUCGAUGGGAGGGUAGUGGCCUCCCAUGGUGACAACGGGUACGGGCGAUUAGGGUCGAAUUGCCGGAGAGGGAGCCUAUUUUCUUGGGCUUUAGAGUCGACAGUGACUAGUUGCUUCGGCAGCGACACUAUCAAAUUGCGGGGACAUCCUAAAGCGGCGACUACCAAGUAAACGUGGAAACACUUUUAUGGCCAGACUAAUCAUCUGGGUAUGGUAACAACGUCACCGAUCAUAAUGGAUCAUCCGCAGCCAAGUCCUAACGUGUUAAAAACACUACGGAUGCAGUUCACAGACUAAAUGAUAGUGGGCAAUUCAUUGCUUAAGAUAUAGUCGGAUCUACUGUGAAAGCAGUAUAGGGUAGAGGAACCAGAUUCACUGGGGAGAGCUACUCUAGACCAUCAUGUGGUCGAAGUAUCGGAGAAACGGCUACCACAUCCAAGGAAGGCAGCAGGCGCGCAAAUUACCCAAUCUCAAUACGAGGAGGUAGUGACAAGAAAUAUUCAAGCAGAGCCCUAUGGGUUUUGCUAUGAAAAAUGUGCUUAAUGUAAACCGUUUCGCGAGGGAUCUACUGAAGGGCAAGUCUGGUGGAAAAAGCAAUCCGCUUUGCUGGGCGCCAGAAAUAGAAGGGCUCUCUAGUGUUUGUCCAUCAUUCACAACUUCUAGUCCAGUCUCACGUCUUGGUCCAAGCGGACACUAACAGCAAGACAUUGCCAUUGCCAAGAGACGGGCAACACGACCUGGGACGAGGAAAGGGCCCAUGGGGCUUACCGAGUGGGGCUUAACUUGCGGCCUACGGACUGCUUGCAGAGCCCUGCUUUUCCUCUCAGUAGUGUUCACGUGUCUCGCAAGGGGCGCUGUGCAUCUGGGACUUUUACCUUGAGUAAAUUGGAGUGUUCAAGGCAGGCAUUCGCUUGUACAUGUUAGCAUGGAAUAAUGGAACAGGACGUUAGUCCUUCCGUUGGUCAAAGGAUUGACGUAAUGAUAAAUAGGGACAGUUGGGGGCAUUCGUAUUCAAUCGUCAGAGGUGAAAUUCUUGGAUUGAUUGAAGACGAACUAGUGCGAAAGCAUUUGCCAAGGAUGUUUUCAUUGAUCAAGAACAAAAGUUAGGGGAUCGAAGACGAUUAGAUACCGUCGUAGUCUUAACCAUAAACGAUGCCGGCUCGGGAUCCGAGGAUGGUUUAUUCCACGCCUCUUCGGGCACCGUUCGAGAAAUCAAAGCUUUUGGGCUCUGGGGGGAGUAUGGUCAAUUGCGGCCGUCAAGAGUUGGCUCGUCCAGCUAGUCCAUUCGUGGGCAACACCAUCAAAUUGCGGGGACAUCCUGACAGCUCUGUCUACCAAGUGGGUGUGGAAACACACUCAUGGCCAGGUUAACUCCCUGGGUAUGGUCACAAUGACAGAGAUUGGACAAUCCGCAGCCAAUCCCUAAGUCGAAAGAUAUGGGAGCAGUUCACAGACUAAAUGUUUGGUGGGUAGCAAGUCUACUUAAAGAUAUAGUCGAGUCCCAAGCGAGAGGUUGGGAACAGCUGCGCAAGGCUGAAACUUUAAGGGAAUUGACGGGAAGGGCACCACCAGGGGUAAGCAGCAGCUCUGCCCCAGUCGCUGCGGACAACGCACGGAGCCUGUGGCUUAAUUUGACUCAACACGGGACAACUUACCAGGUCCAGACAUAAGAAGGAUUGACAGAUUGAAAGCUCUUUCAUAAUUUUAUGGGUGGUGGUGCAUGGCCGUUCUUAGUUGGUGGAGCGAUUUGUCUGGUUAAUUCCGAUAACGAACGAGACCCUGACCUGCUCACUAGUGCGCAUUUGGUAACAAGUGACGCGCUUCUGAGAGGGACAAUGGGUGGCAAACCCAUGGAAGUGCUGGGCGAAAACAGGUUAACUCACAGGCCUGCAAGAGUACUCGAAUGCUAGUCAUAUACUAUAUGGCGACACCAUCAAAUUGCGGGGACUUUCUAAAGCUUUGACUACCAAGCCAGCGUUGAAAGACAGCUGGUGGCCAGAUCUUCUGGGUACGGUAAAAACGUCAAAGAUGAACAAUGAAAAAUCCGCAGCCAAGCCCUACGUCAUCACUGAUACGGGUGCAGUCCACAGACUAGAUGUUGGUGGGUCCUCAUGGACUUUAGAUAUAGUCGAUAUCCAAGCAAACACUUGGGAUAAAAUGCUGUGAUGCCCUUAGAUGUUCUGGGCCGCACGCGCGCUACACUGAUGGCGUCAACGAGUGUAUCCUUGGCUGACAAGUCUGGGUAAUGCUUGUGAAACGCCAUCGUGCUAGGGAUAGAGCCUGCAAUUUGCUCUAAAACCGAGGAAUCCCUAGUAAGCGCAAGUCAUCAGCUUGCGUUGAUUACGUCCCUGCCCUUUGUACACACCGCCCGUCGCUACUACCGAUUGAAUGGUUUAGUGAGAUUUUCGGAUCGACGCCAAUGGUUUCCGCCUUUGUGUGAGAAGUACUCAAA